UCUGGUUGAUCCUGCCAGUAGUGAUAUGCUUGUUUCAAAGAUUAAGCCACGCAUGUCUAAGUAUAAGCGAACUUAUACAGUGAAACUGCGGAUGGCUCAUUAAAACAGUUUGAAUUUAUUUGAUGAAUGUAUGAGAAUACUACUUGGAUAACCGUAGUAAUUCUAGAGCUAAUACAUGCAACGACGCCCGACCGUUUCACUACGGAAGGGCUGUAUUUAUUGGAUACCAAAACCAUCCUUCCCUCGGGAAGUUUUGUUUGAUGAUUCACAAUAACUGAUCGGAUCGCCACUGUGGUGGCGACAGGUCAUUCAACAUUCUGCCCUAUCAGCUUUCGAUGGUUGUGUAGUGGACAACCAUGGCCAUAACGGGUAACGGAGAAUCAGGGUUCGAUUCCGGAGAAGGAGCUUGAGAAUUGGCUACUACAUCUAAGGAAGGCAGCAGGCGCGCAAAUUACCCAAUCCCGAUUCGGGGAGGUAGUGACAAAAAAUAACAAUACCGGGCCUUUUUGGGCUUGGUAAUUGGAAUGAGGGAGAGUUAAACUGACCAUCGAGUAUCCAUUGGAGGGCAAGUCUGGUGCCAGCAGCUGCGGUAAUACCAGCUCCAAUAGCGUAUAUUAAAGUUGUUGCAGUUAAAAAGCUCGUAGUUGGACUUGUGUGCGCUGUCCGCGGGUGGCCUGCGCCCAAAAGGGCGUUUCGGUUCGGCCCCGGUGGCGCCUUGAAAUCUGCAGCUGGGGGGACGUUGGCCUUAACUGGUCGGCGACCGCACGCCGGCUGCUCGGUUACUGUGAGAAAAUUAGAGUGUUCAAGGCAGGCAUUGGGUGCAAUUGAAUACAUUAGCAUGGAAUAAUAAAAUAUGGCUCCUGCCGUAUUUUGUUGGUUUUGACUGGUGGGAGUAAUGAUUGAUAGGGACGGUUGGGGGUGCUAGUAUUGAGCGGCCAGAGGUGAAAUUCAUGGAUUCGCUCAAGACUAACUUAUGCGAAAGCAUUCACCAAGGACGUCCUCUUUAAUCAAAAACGAAAGUUGGGGGAUCGAAGACGAUCAGAUACCGUCGUAGUCUCAACCAUAAACUAUGUCGACUUGGGAUCGGCGGUAGUUUUUUCAUUAAGACACUGUCGGGACCACGGGAGAAAUCAAAGUGUCUGGGCUCUGGGGGAAGUAUGGUCGCAAGGCUGAAACUUGAAGGAAUUGACGGAAGGGCACCACCAGGAGUGGAGCCUGCGGCUUAAUUUGACCCAACACGGGGAAACUUACCAGGUCCAGAGAUGUAGAGGAUUGAC
rnacentral:rRNA from 1 species